UNCAACUCUUCAGGGACACUGGUGGUGUGG
rnacentral:piRNA from 1 species